UGUGAGAGACAAAAUGGCGGACACGAACACAUUCUGUUCUAUUUACACAAUAUCACCACAGCACUGAAAUCAUAUUUACGCGCUAAUUAUUUCAUUUUGCUCCCGUUUUAUUGAAGUUUAUUGAAGUUUAAGAUUAGAAAGCUAAUAUAAAGUUUGUUGUUAACAGCGUCCUUGCAGCAAUAAACCGUCUCGCGCUUCAGCAGCACUGAGCUACACAGGACGCUGUGGAGCUGCUACGUGAUUGGCUGAUGCUGCAACAGAGCAGUAACGUGAUUGGUUCCCGCGCCAAAUGAUUGACACUGGGCCCGCCUCCGAUAUGGCCGAGUUAAAAAAGGAACGGAUUUAGAACGUAAAGCUGUAAGAGAUGGGGGGGACUGUGACGUCACAAGAGGAGGCUAUGACGUCACAGGAGGAGAAGGGACAAAAACCCUGAUUUCAGGUGUUUAGUUCAGUUACUGUAUUUUACAGAUCACACGCCAGAGAAAGCAAUCCGAGAGAAACUACUGGAUUCAUACCCACGUGAUUCAAAGAUGAGUGAGAAGAAGAGAAGUAGCCAGAGAGGAACAGCUGGAACAGCUGGAACAGCUGGAGCGUGCACUCAGGACUCCACAUCUGACCAGAGACUGAAGUGUUUCAGGGACAUUAUGGACGUCGUUCUUCAUCUGAGCGAUGAGGAAUGGAAGGCUGUGACCAGGGACAUGAAGAAGAAGGU